GUGGGGAAUAUUGCACAAUGGGCGGAAGCCUGAUGCAGCGACGCCGCGUGAGUGAAGAAGUAUCUCGGUAUGUAAAGCUCUAUCAGCAGGGAAGAAAAUGACGGUACCUGACUAAGAAGCCCCGGCUAACUACGUGCCAGCAGCCGCGGUAAUACGUAGGGGGCAAGCGUUAUCCGGAUUUACUGGGUGUAAAGGGAGCGUAGACGGCGACGCAAGUCUGGAGUGAAAGCCCGGGGCCCAACCCCGGGACUGCUUUGGAAACUGUGCUGCUGGAGUGCAGGAGAGGUAAGUGGAAUUCCUAGUGUAGCGGUGAAAUGCGUAGAUAUUAGGAGGAACACCAGUGGCGAAGGCGGCUUACUGGACUGUAACUGACGUUGAGGCUCGAAAGCGUGGGGAGCAAACAGGAUUAGAAACCCGAGUAGUCCC
rnacentral:rRNA from 1 species